UACAACUUAUCUAUUUCCUUUUUUCUGUGGGACUUCUUCAAAGAUAAUAAUUUGGCAAUAAAUAAUGUUCAGUAAUCAUGUUUCCCUUUUAAUCACUAUACUUUAGUAUUCUUGGUAUCACAAAAUCUUUGAAACCUGAUACCACUCAUGUAAUUAGCCAUUAUUUUUGUCAUAAAGUCCCAUGUCUUAUCCGUUUUUCUUUCAAGGGAACAGACCAAACCAAACUGUGACUUCAUUUGUAAAUAUUUGAAAUUUAUAUUAUGUCUCUUAUGUGAUCUCAGAGGACUUAAUUUUUGUGUGCGGACCUCAAGCUACCUUUAGUGACUUACAAGCUAUCAACCAACAAGAGUUUUCCCUGCUUUUGGAGCCUGCUAAGCUAUCAACAAACAAAGAGGUACUACGCUGAGACUGAAGAGGAUGCUAGCCAGCAGCUCACCUCUCUUGCCGUCACCGCUGAGCCGCCAUGUCUCCUUCAGAGGCUUGUUGUAUUGCUACAUGUUUAUGCUUCUUAUCCACUCACCCAUUGUAGUGUAGGUCUGUUGCGGCAAUUGAAUGCUUCAAAGGAUUUUAAUGGAGUUCAUUGUAGCUGAGUCGCGAAUCUCCAGCUUGCUUCCAUGUCUUUUCUCACUGGAGACACCUCCUGCCGGCAACGGCGAUGACCGCUACCCUGCUCCUCUCCCAGCAAAGGCAUGUCUACCUCUCCUGUGAAGUUAAGGCCAUCUUUGCCUCUUCCUUCAUGUUUUUCCUCUGUUUUUUGUUACACGACUUUGUGGUGCUUAGUGUAUAUAUCAUUCCCUCAUGUCCAUUGAUUGAACAACUCUGCUACGUGUGAUUGCAUUAGCAAACUCCAUUUUUGUGUAUGUAGAAAAACAAAGGAAACUCCAUUUUUGUGUAAGGAAACUGCUUUUUUGUGUAAUUGCAAACAAAUGAAACUCCAUUUUUCUGUAA